UUCAGCCAGAGAUGGGGACGUUGUUUCCGAAAAGCACCGCGGUUUCUGUGGUGUCUCGUGCUCUCUGAACGGCCCUUUAAACACCAAGGGAGGCUAUUAAUUUGCACUCAAUCGUACCGAUAUCCGCAUUAGGUCUCCAAGGUGAACAGCCUCUAGUCGAUAGAAUAAUGUAGGUAAGGGAAGUCGGCAAACUAGAUCCGUAACUUCGGGAAAAGGAUUGGCUCCAGUGGUCGGAACGGUUGGCCAGUUGGUUGAUGCUUGUCCGGCGCUGUUCUGUCUGCUUGAUGCUUUCGGGCUGAUGGCGGCCUAGUGAUAGUGCUUGCUUGUUGACGCUUUCUGGUGUGUGCUUUGACCUCGGUCUUAGUAUCCUGAUCGUUCAUCUAAACGACUAAACUGGAACCGGUACGGACUCAGGGAAUCCGACUGUCUAAUUAAAACAGAGGUGACAGAUGGUCCUUGCGGACGCUGACUGUCACUGAUUUCUGCCCAGUGCUCUGAAUGUUAAAUCGUAGUAAUUCGAGUAAGCGCGGGUAAACGGCGGGAGUAACUAUGACUCUCUUAAGGUAGCCAAAUGCCUCGUCUUUUAAUUGUUGACGCGCAUGAAUGGAUUAACGAGAUUCCUACUGUCCCUAACUACUAUCUAGCGAAACCACAGCCAAGGGAACGGGCUUGGCAAAAAUAGCGGGGAAAGAAGACCCUGUUGAGCUUGACUCUAGUUUGACAUUGUGAAGAGUCAUGAGAGGUGUAGCAUAGGUGGGAGUCUUCGGACGCCAAUGAAAUACCACCACUUUCAUCGACUCUUUACUUAUUCGGUUAAAAGAGAAUUGGUCGCAAGGCCUCUUUUCGAAGUAUUAAGCGGAUCCAUUUUAUGGAACCGUGACUCUCCCCGAAGACAGUGUCAAGCGGGGAGUUUGACUGGGGCGGUACAUCUAUCAAAUCGUAACGUAGGUGUCCUAAGGCGAGCUCAGAGAGGACGGAAACCUCUCGUAGAGCAAAAGGGCAAAAGCUUGCUUGAUCUUGUACUUUCAGUACGAGUACAGACCGCGAAAGCGUGGCCUAUCGAUCCUUUUAAUUUUCCAGAUUGUUU
rnacentral:ncRNA from 1 species